GACGAACGCUGGCGGCGUGCCUAACACAUGCAAGUUGAGCGACGAACCAGGGCUUGCCCUGGGGCAAAGCAGCGAACGGGUGAGUAACACGUGGGUAACGUGCCCCGAUAACCGGGACAACCCGAGGAAACUCGGGCUAAUACCGGAUGUGCCCACCGGACACCAGUCCGGUGUGUAAAGGAAGCUUCGGCCUCCGUAUCGGGAGCGGCCCGCGGCCCAUUAGCUAGUUGGUGAGGUAACGGCUCACCAAGGCAACGAUGGGUAGCUGGUCUGAGAGGACGAUCAGCCACACUGGGACUGAGACACGGCCCAGACUCCUACGGGAGGCAGCAGUGGGGAAUAUUGGACAAUGGGCGAAAGCCUGAUCCAGCAAUGCCGCGUGAGUGAU
rnacentral:rRNA from 1 species